GUCUACGGCCAUACCACGUUGAAAACACCGGUUCUCGUCUGAUCACCGAAGUUAAACAACGUCGGGCCCGGUUAGUACUUGGAUGGGUGACCGCCUGGGAAUACCGGGUGCUGUAGACU
rnacentral:rRNA from 1 species